UGGGCAACCUACCCUUGACUCUGGGAUAACUCCGGGAAACCGGAGCUAAUACCGGAUAUGAACACGAAGGACAUCCUUUGUGUUGGAAAGUUUUUCGGUCAGGGAUGGGCCCGCGGCCUAUCAGCUUGUUGGUGGGGUAAUGGCCCACCAAGGCGACGACGGGUAGCCGGCCUGAGAGGGCGAUCGGCCACACUGGGACUGAGACACGGCCCAGACUCCUACGGGAGGCA
rnacentral:rRNA from 1 species